UAAAUGCCCUUCAAGGGUUUCUGUGUCAAGGAUUCUAGCGGUGACACCAUCAGACACAAGAUUUGCUACAAUUAACUGAGGUGCUUUAAGGCUCCCCCUAUCCAGAAAAAGGAAAAGGAGAGAAAAGGCUUUCUUUUGCCACAAUUACCACCCUGGGUCCAUAGUAUCCAGCAGUCAGAAGGCCAAGGUACUGCACACAUAUCUAUGCACAGUUACCACAUGUAUAGAGCUAUCUAUAUCCUUUC
rnacentral:lncRNA from 12 species